GACGAACGCUGGCGGCGUGCUUAACACAUGCAAGUCGAACGGAAAGGCCCUGCUUUUGUGGGGUGCUCGAGUGGCGAACGGGUGAGUAACACGUGAGUAACCUGCCCUUGACUUUGGGAUAACUUCAGGAAACUGGGGCUAAUACCGGAUAGGAGCUCCUGCUGCAUGGUGGGGGUUGGAAAGUUUCGGCGGUUGGGGAUGGACUCGCGGCUUAUCAGCUUGUUGGUGGGGUAGUGGCUUACCAAGGCUUUGACGGGUAGCCGGCCUGGGAGGGUGACCGGCCAAAAUGGGACUGAGAUACGGCCCAGACUCCUACGGGGGGGAACAGGGGGGAAUAUUGCACAAUGGGGGGAAGCCUGAUUCAGCAACCCCGGGUGCGGGGUGACGGCCUUCGGGGUGUAAACCCCUUUCGCCCGUGAAGAAGCGGGGGGGAAGGGAAUGGGUAAAGAAGCACCGGCUAAAUUAGUG
rnacentral:rRNA from 1 species